CGCGCAGGCGGUCGUUCAAGUCGCGUGUGAAAGCCCCCCGGCUCAACUGGGGAGGGUCACGCGAUACUGAUCGACUCGAAGGCAGGAGAGGGUAGUGGAAUUCCCGGUGUAGUGGUGAAAUGCGUAGAUAUCGGGAGGAACACCAGUGGCGAAGGCGACUACCUGGCCUGUUUCUUGACGCUGAGGCGCGAAAGCUAGGGGAGCAAACGG
rnacentral:rRNA from 1 species